GACGAAGGGGGCUAGCGUUGUUCGGAAUUACUGGGCGUAAAGCGCGUGUAGGCGGUUGUCCAAGUUGGAUGUGAAAGCCUUGAGCUUAACUCAAGAAAUGCAUUCAGGACUGGAUAACUAGAGGACCGGAGAGGAUAGUGGAAUUCCCAGUGUAGUGGUGAAAUACGUAGAGAUUGGGAAGAACACCAGUGGCGAAGGCGGCUAUCUGGACGGUUUCUGACGCUAAGACGCGAAAGCGUGGGGAGCAAACAGG
rnacentral:rRNA from 1 species